rnacentral:rRNA from 1 species
AUGAGAAGGAGUACUUGGCAGUCAUCAUGGCCGUGGAUCAAAUGGCGUCCCUACCUCCAACAUGCUGAGUUCACCAUCCUCACGGACCAACACAGCUUAACACAGCUGACGGGACAGAGGCUUUCAACUCCUUGGCAGCAACGGGCCUUCACUAAACUGUUGGGACUUCGAUACAUCAUCAACUACAAGAAAUGGGCAGAGAACACUGCAGCAGACGCCUUGUCAAGAGCCAACACAACAGAGGUGCUACACACUCUUAGUGUGUGUCAACCGGCUUGGCUCGAAGACAUCGUCAACAUCUACAACACCAACCCGCAGGCGCAACGCCUCCUCGAGCAACUUGUUGUCCGGCAAGACCCAAAAGGACGAUUCUAA